UUUCGCGUUUUCGCGUUUUCGCGUUUUCGCGUUUUCGCCUUUUCGCCUUAAAUUAUAGGUAUAUUGAUCCAAUAUAUCCACCCGUUUAUAGUAUGGAUCACAUUUCCGACCUUACAUUGAUUACGUGCUACGUGUACAAUGUUUCGAGUUCUUUCGGAAUUAUAUUCCAGGUAACUCUCUUCAGAGGUCGUCCGUUUUAUUUUUAUUUUAUAUAGCUAUAUACCAACAUAUAAAUAAAAUUCUAAACAUCUUUCCACACAAAAACAAAAUAUUAUUUCAUAAACGUAUGAAGGAUGAUGGAUAUAUUUUAUUUCAAGGUACUACGGAAGAAGUUAAACUUCUUUUCGAAAUAGCAAACACAAACCACAACCUACUGCAAUUUACUUAUGAAAUUGACAGACAAAGUUUGAAAUUUCUAGACUUAGAAACGUAUAAAGGACAGAGAUUUCAAAAAGAAAAUAUCUUAGAUAUUAGAUGUUUCACAAAACCAACUGAAAAAUUCCAAUAUCUACACCAAAAUUCUAACCACGCUAAAAGUUGUUUUAAAUCCUUUAUUAAAGGUGAAGGAAUACGAAUUCUUAGAAAUACCUCUGAUCCUGACAAUUUUAAUGAAAGAAUAAACUUAUUUACAGAAAAAUUAAUACAAAGAGGUUACAAAAUCGCUUUUGUAAAUAAAAUAUUAAGAAAUAUUUCCCAUACAGAAAGAUUAAACAAAUUAACAAACAAAGAAACAAGAAUAAACAAAAACACAGAUAACUAUAAUAUAUCUUUCAUAACACAAUACCACGCUAAUGCGGAAAAUUUACAAACCAUUAUAAGAAAACAUUGGCAUUUAAUUCAAGACAACCCACAGUUCAAAAAUCUCUUUGAUAAAAAACCUACAAUAGCAUUCAAAAGAAACAGGAACAUUGGGGAAAUCGUUAAGAAACACUUGAAAUAAAUCAAUGUCUCCCAAUAGAAAUUAAUUAGACAGUUAUACUAAAACCAAAGGAAGGUGCGUUGACAAUGAAAAAUGCAUAUUGAAACGUAUCUUAAACAAUAACCAAAACCAGUUAUCCAUACGUUGAUAAAACGAACAAUAAUAAAUAAAAGGUACAAUAAUAAAUAAAAUGUACAAAAUAAUAAACAAACAAACAUUUAAAAAUAAAAAUAAAAAUAAAAAUAAAAAAUAAAAAAUAAAAAUAAUAAUAAUAAUAAAAAUAAAAAAUAAAAAUAAAACGGACGACCUCUGAAGAGAGUUACCUGGAAUAUAAUUCCGAAAGAACUCGAAACAUUGUACACGUAGCACGUAAUCAAUGUAAGGUCGGAAAUGUGAUCCAUACUAUAAACGGGUGGAUAUUGGAUCAAUAUACCUAUAAUUUAAGGCGAAAAGGCGAAAACGCGAAAUCGCGAAAACGCGAAAAGGCGAAAUCGCGAAAUCGCGAAAACGCGAAAAGGCGAAAUCGCGAAAAGGCGAAAUCGCGAAAAGGCGAAAACGCGAAAUCGCGAAAACGCGAAAACGCGAAAUCGCGAAAACGCGAAAAGGCGAAAACGCGAAAAGGCAAAAACGCGAAAUCGCGAAGUCUAAAACGCGAAAACGCGAAAACGCGAAGUCGAAAACGCGAAAACGCGAAGUCGAAAACGC
rnacentral:lncRNA from 1 species